UUUGGUUAAGUUAGAAAGGGCGCACGGUGGAUGCCUUGACACUAGGAGUCGAUGAAGGACGGGACUAACGCCGAUAUGCUUCGGGGAGCUGUAAGUAAGCUUUGAUCCGAAGAUUUCCGAAUGGGGAAACCCACCAUACGUAAUGGUAUGGUAUCCUUAUCUGAAUACAUAGGGUAAGGAAGACAGACCCAGGGAACUGAAACAUCUAAGUACCUGGAGGAAGAGAAAGCAAAUGCGAUUUCCUGAGUAGCGGCGAGCGAAACGGAACAUAGCCCAAACCAAGAGGCUUGCCUCUUGGGGUUGUAGGACAUUCUAUACGGAGUUACAAAGGAACGAGGUAGACGAAGCGACCUGGAAAGGUCCGUCGUAGAGGGUAACAACCCCGUAGUCGAAACUUCGUUCUCUCUUGAAUGUAUCCUGAGUACGGCGGAACACGUGAAAUUCCGUCGGAAUCUGGGAGGACCAUCUCCCAAGGCUAAAUACUCCCUAGUGAUCGAUAGUGAACCAGUACCGUGAGGGAAAGGUGAAAAGCACCCCGGAAGGGGAGUGAAAGAGAUCCUGAAACCGUGUGCCUACAAAUAGUCAGAGCCCGUUAACGGGUGAUGGCGUGCCUUUUGUAGAAUGAACCGGCGAGUUACGAUCCCGUGCGAGGUUAAGCUGAAGAGGCGGAGCCGCAGCGAAAGCGAGUCUGAAUAGGGCGUUUAGUACGUGGUCGUAGACCCGAAACCAGGUGAUCUACCCAUGUCCAGGGUGAAGUUCAGGUAACACUGAAUGGAGGCCCGAACCCACGCACGUUGAAAAGUGCGGGGAUGAGGUGUGGGUAGCGGAGAAAUUCCAAUCGAACCUGGAGAUAGCUGGUUCUCCCCGAAAUAGCUUUAGGGCUAGCCUUAAGUGUAAGAGUCUUGGAGGUAGAGCACUGAUUGGACUAGGGGUCCUCAUCGGAUUACCGAAUUCAGUCAAACUCCGAAUGCCAAUGACUUAUCCUUAGGAGUCAGACUGCGAGUGAUAAGAUCCGUAGUCAAAAGGGAAACAGCCCAGACCGCCAGCUAAGGUCCCAAAGUGUGUAUUAAGUGGAAAAGGAUGUGGAGUUGCUUAGACAACUAGGAUGUUGGCUUAGAAGCAGCCACCAUUUAAAGAGUGCGUAAUAGCUCACUAGUCGAGUGACUCUGCGCCGAAAAUGUACCGGGGCUAAAUACACCACCGAAGCUGCGGAUUGAUACCAAUGGUAUCAGUGGUAGGGGAGCGUUCUAAGGACAGUGAAGUCAGACCGGAAGGACUGGUGGAGUGCUUAGAAGUGAGAAUGCCGGUAUGAGUAGCGAAAGACGGGUGAGAAUCCCGUCCACCGAAUGCCUAAGGUUUCCUGAGGAAGGCUCGUCCGCUCAGGGUUAGUCAGGACCUAAGCCGAGGCCGACAGGCGUAGGCGAUGGACAACAGGUUGAUAUUCCUGUACCACCUCUUUAUCGUUUGAGCAAUGGAGGGACGCAGAAGGAUAGAAGAAGCGUGCGAUUGGUUGUGCACGUCCAAGCAGUUAGGCUGAUAAGUAGGCAAAUCCGCUUAUCGUGAAGGCUGAGCUGUGAUGGGGAAGCUCCUUAUGGAGCGAAGUCUUUGAUUCCCCGCUGCCAAGAAAAGCUUCUAGCGAGAUAAAAGGUGCCUGUACCGCAAACCGACACAGGUAGGCGAGGAGAGAAUCCUAAGGUGUGCGAGAGAACUCUGGUUAAGGAACUCGGCAAAAUGACCCCGUAACUUCGGGAGAAGGGGUGCUUUCUUAACGGAAAGCCGCAGUGAAUAGGCCCAAGCGACUGUUUAGCAAAAACACAGCUCUCUGCGAAGCCGUAAGGCGAAGUAUAGGGGGUGACACCUGCCCGGUGCUGGAAGGUUAAGGAGAGGGGUUAGCGUAAGCGAAGCUCUGACUGAAGCCCCAGUAAACGGCGGCCGUAACUAUAACGGUCCUAAGGUAGCGAAAUUCCUUGUCGGGUAAGUUCCGACCCGCACGAAAGGUGUAACGAUUUGGGCACUGUCUCAACCAGAGACUCGGUGAAAUUAUAGUACCUGUGAAGAUGCAGGUUACCCGCGACAGGACGGAAAGACCCCGUGGAGCUUUACUGUAGCCUGAUAUUGAAUUUUGGUACAGUUUGUACAGGAUAGGCGGGAGCCAUUGAAACCGGAGCGCUAGCUUCGGUGGAGGCGCUGGUGGGAUACCGCCCUGACUGUAUUGAAAUUCUAACCUACGGGUCUUAUCGACCCGGGAGACAGUGUCAGGUGGGCAGUUUGACUGGGGCGGUCGCCUCCUAAAGUGUAACGGAGGCGCCCAAAGGUUCCCUCAGAAUGGUUGGAAAUCAUUCGUAGAGUGCAAAGGCAUAAGGGAGCUUGACUGCGAGACCUACAAGUCGAGCAGGGACGAAAGUCGGGCUUAGUGAUCCGGUGGUUCCGCAUGGAAGGGCCAUCGCUCAACGGAUAAAAGCUACCCCGGGGAUAACAGGCUUAUCUCCCCCAAGAGUCCACAUCGACGGGGAGGUUUGGCACCUCGAUGUCGGCUCAUCGCAUCCUGGGGCUGUAGUCGGUCCCAAGGGUUGGGCUGUUCGCCCAUUAAAGCGGUACGCGAGCUGGGUUCAGAACGUCGUGAGACAGUUCGGUCCCUAUCCGUCGUGGGCGUAGGAAAUUUGAGAGGAGCUGUCCUUAGUACGAGAGGACCGGGAUGGACGCACCGCUGGUGUACCAGUUGUUCUGCCAAGGGCAUAGCUGGGUAGCUAUGUGCGGAAGGGAUAAGUGCUGAAAGCAUCUAAGCAUGAAGCCCCCCUCAAGAUGAGAUUUCCCAUAGCGUAAGCUAGUAAGAUCCCUGAAAGAUGAUCAGGUUGAUAGGUUCGAGGUGGAAGCAUGGUGACAUGUGGAGCUGACGAAUACUAAUAGAUCGAGGACUUAACCAUAUAA
rnacentral:rRNA from 1 species